rnacentral:rRNA from 1 species
GACGAACGCUGGCGGCGUGCCUAAUACAUGCAAGUAGAACGCUGAAGAGAGGAGCUUGCUCUUCUUGGAUGAGUUGCGAACGGGUGAGUAACGCGUAGGUAACCUGCCUUGUAGCGGGGGAUAACUAUUGGAAACGAUAGCUAAUACCGCAUAACAAUGGAUGACACAUGUCAUUUAUUUGAAAGGGGCAAUUGCUCCACUACAAGAUGGACCUGCGUUGUAUUAGCUAGUAGGUGAGGUAAUGGCUCACCUAGGCGACGAUACAUAGCCGACCUGAGAGGGUGAUCGGCCACACUGGGACUGAGACACGGCCCAGACUCCUACGGGAGGCAGCAGUAGGGAAUCUUCGGCAAUGGGGGCAACCCUGACCGAGCAACGCCGCGUGAGUGAAGAAGAUUUUCGGAUCGUAAAGCUCUGUUGUAAGUCAAGAACGGGUGUGAGAGUGGAAAGUUCACACUGUGACGAUAGCUUACCAGAAAGGGACGGCUAACUACGUG